rnacentral:rRNA from 1 species
GUGUCAGCAGCCGCGGUAAUACGGAGGGUGCGAGCGUUGUCCGGAAUCACUGGGCGUAAAGGGCGCGUAGGCGGCAUGCCAAGCGUGUGGUGAAAGCCCGGGGCUCAACCCCGGGUCGGCCGUGCGGACUGGCGUGCUCGAGCACUGUAGGGGCGGGUGGAAUUCCGGGUGUAGCGGUGGAAUGCGUAGAGAUCCGGAAGAACACCGGUGGCGAAGGCGGCCCGCUGGGCAGGAAGACACCGCAAGGUGUCGGCUGACGCUGAGGCGCGACAGCGUGGGGAGCAAACAGGAUUAGAUACCCCCGUAGUCC